UACGAAGGGUGCAAACGUUGCUCGGAAUUAUUGGGCGUAAAGCGCACGUAGGCGGCUUUGCAAGUCGGAUGUGAAAUCCCUCGGCUUAACCAAGGAAGUGCAUCCGAAACUGCAGAGCUUGAGUACUUAAGAGGAUCGCGGAAUUCCCGGUGUAGAGGUGAAAUUCGUAGAUAUCGGGAGGAACACCAGUGGCGAAGGCGGCUCACUGGCCCGAUACUGACGCUGAGGUGCGAAAGCGUGGGGAGCAAACAGG
rnacentral:rRNA from 1 species